rnacentral:rRNA from 1 species
CUUGCUAAAAUAUAAGAGGUCCAGCCUGCCCAGUGACCCAGUUCAACGGCCGCGGUAUCCUAACCGUGCGAAGGUAGCGUAAUCACUUGUUCUUUAAAUGGGGACUAGUAUGAAUGGCAUCACGAGGGUUGAACUGUCUCCUUUCUCUAAUCAGUGAAACUAAUCUCCCCGUGAAGAAGCGGGAAUCAUUUUAUAAGACGAGAAGACCCUAUGGAGCUUAAAACAAAUUGACACAUGCUUCCACCUACUUCAAUUCCUGAAUAAAUAUACAAAAUAUAGCAUCAUUGAUUAAUAGUUUUAGAUUGGGGUAAUCAUGGAGCAAAAAAUAACCUCCACGACGAAAAGGAAUAUUCCCUGAGCCAAAAGCCACAACUUUAAGCACUAAAAAAUUAACGCAUCUUGACCCAAUUUUUUGAGCAACGAAC